ACAAAAUCCAACAAACAAGCAAUGACGCAAUUCGAACUCUGUAUGUUGCAAAUAUUGUCGUUGUCAAUGUCAAUGUAGUGCUUUUGUUAGACUAAUGGAAUGGUGCUUUGGCUCACUUUUGCAAGCUUUGCACUGGCCUCUUCGAUUUUUGAUAAUAAUCUUCUGCUGCUGUAUUUGACAACUCUGAGUUGGAUGCUAAACAACUUUGAUUUCUUCUCCCAUAGCCUUGCAGAUGACACUUGCUCAGCUUUGAAGGACUUUCAACGGAAUCCUCAAAACAAUAUCUUGCAAAUUAUACUUCAAAGUGA
rnacentral:misc_RNA from 1 species